GUGAGUAACACGUGAGCAACCUGCCCUGGACUCUGGGAUAAGCGCUGGAAACGGCGUCUAAUACUGGAUAUGAGACGUGAUCGCAUGGUCGUGUUUGGAAAGAUUUUUCGGUCUGGGAUGGGCUCGCGGCCUAUCAGCUUGUUGGUGAGGUAAUGGCUCACCAAGGCGUCGACGGGUAGCCGGCCUGAGAGGGUGACCGGCCACACUGGGACUGAGACACGGCCCAGACUCCUACGGGAGGCAGCAGUGGGGAAUAUUGCACAAUGGGCGGAAGCCUGAUGCAGCAACGCCGCGUGAGGGAUGACGGCCUUCGGGUUGUAAACCUCUUUUAGCAGGGAAGAAGCGAAAGUGACGGUACCUGCAGAAAAAGCGCCGGCUAACUACGUGCCAGCAGCCGCGGUAAUACGUAGGGCGCAAGCGUUAUCCGGAAUUAUUGGGCGUAAAGAGCUCGUAGGCGGUUUGUCGCGUCUGCUGUGAAAUCCCGAGGCUCAACCUCGGGCCUGCAGUGGGUACGGGCAGACUAGAGUGCGGUAGGGGAGAUUGGAAUUCCUGGUGUAGCGGUGGAAUGCGCAGAUAUCAGGAGGAACACCGAUGGCGAAGGCAGAUCUCUGGGCCGUAACUGACGCUGAGGAGCGAAAGGGUGGGGAGCAAACAGGCUUAGAUACCCUGGUAGUCCACCCCGUAAACGUUGGGAACUAGUUGUGGGGACCAUUCCACGGUUUCCGUGACGCAGCUAACGCAUUAAGUUCCCCGCCUGGGGAGUACGGCCGCAAGGCUAAAACUCAAAGGAAUUGACGGGGACCCGCACAAGCGGCGGAGCAUGCGGAUUAAUUCGAUGCAACGCGAAGAACCUUACCAAGGCUUGACAUAUACGAGAACGGGCCAGAAAUGGUCAACUCUUUGGACACUCGUAAACAGGUGGUGCAUGGUUGUCGUCAGCUCGUGUCGUGAGAUGUUGGGUUAAGUCCCGCAACGAGCGCAACCCUCGUUCUAUGUUGCCAGCACGUAAUGGUGGGAACUCAUGGGAUACUGCCGGGGUCAACUCGGAGGAAGGUGGGGAUGACGUCAAAUCAUCAUGCCCCUUAUGUCUUGGGCUUCACGCAUGCUACAAUGGCCGGUACAAAGGGCUGCAAUACCGUGAGGUGGAGCGAAUCCCAAAAAGCCGGUCCCAGUUCGGAUUGAGGUCUGCAACUCGACCUCAUGAAGUCGGAGUCGCUAGUAAUCGCAGAUCAGCAACGCUGCGGUGAAUACGUUCCCGGGUCUUGUACACACCGCCCGUCAAGUCAUGA
rnacentral:rRNA from 1 species